GUCACUUCGAAAAGGCAACAACCGACUUCGAAAGAGAUACCUUAUUGGAUUUGGAUUUUGGAUUUGGAUUUGGAUUUGGAUGCGAAGAUCACUCCCACUUGAACUAGACUUUGGAACCGUGAAGUAAAAUAGGAUGGUUCAGAAUUGGGGGUCGAAUGCGAGAAAGAAAAGAUCAAAGAUGGUGUAUCUGUCGAUCUUCGUCGCUGCUCUGAUGCUUUUCGUGGAUAUGGCGCCGCUGCCUUCUUGUGGUGGUAUACCGCAGCCACUCACUCCGAUGACUACUCUGGAAAAUUCGGAGGAGUUGGAAGGUAACGAUGGUCGGAGAUUGCCCUUUUCUGGGAUCUGAAGCGGGCGACAUGAAUAACUAUUUCGGGUACUCCUACGUUGCCAAGUUCUUCAAGUAUGUGAGUGCAACAAUUACUGGAGGGCCUAAGGGGCUGUUUCAUCUUGGGGAUUGAUUCACAAGAACCCUCUUGCACCAUAUGGGGUGAAUACAAUCUUAAAGAUUGGGACCGGUGGCAUGACUCAGCCCAACCAUCACUAUUCAUUUGGAGCAAGUUGCAGUGACAAAGUUGGUGUUCAAGUUCAAGUGUUUUACUGGAGGAGUACUACCAUCAUCAGUGAGUUCUUUAUUGUUUAAGUUCAUGUGUCCGUUGUACUAAUCUUUCAAAUUGCAUUUUUACUGUCUACAUUACUACAGGAGCUGACUGUUCCUGCAAUGUGCAAGGUAUUAUCCUGGUUUUGUUGUCACCACUUUUGGCAUGAACAGGGCAGUGGCUAUUAGUUAGUGCACCUUGCUAGAGAUUCUUAUGCAAACAGUGGCCUAUGUCUUUGUUAUGUUUCUGUUAUAUCUACAGUACUAAUUACAAAUGGUUCAGAUUUGUUCACUUGGAGAAGAUUACUGCACAUCUCCAAAUUCACUGUAUAUCUUAUUUAAUUCUGCAAAAUCUCACUCUUAUUUGACUUCCUCUUUUUGUAGGUAGUAGUAGUUUUUGUUGUUGUUUUGUAUUGUGACCCAUGAGGGGAUGAAAUAUCAUCCUUGCAUGUAUUGAUUAAUUGAUGACAAAUGUAUAGUUAGAACUGGAUAUACUCUUCUGCCAAUUGAGCUAGUUAAAAAGGGGGAUUUAAAUCUGUUGCAAGUUCCAUCUCUUAUAUGCAUAGUUGUCACCUAGGCAUCUCUGUUGGUGUUGCCUUGCAUCCAGGCCACCUCCAACACCUUGGGUUGCCUAGGUGCUGUGACAACUAUGCUUGUAUGCCAUUUGUUGCUUUGAGACUUUACAGAUUAUGAGGAGGUAUAAAUGAAGUAAUUGUCAUACUAUGUUCAACAACCAUUGCAAUUUACUCAUACAACCCCCCCCCUCUCAAAAGAAAAAGCAGUAUUGUACACAUUAAGUUUGGAAAACGUGAACACUUCUAGAUGUUUCUUCUCUGUUCGGAGUAUUCCUAGGUGAAAAAAAAAUCAUUUGGUAACUGAUUUUUGGGAGUAAUGUUUUUCUUCACUAAUACAAGGCACAUCCAAUACUGCAUGUGGCCAUAGAAGAAAGUAAAUAACUAAUUAGGUGAUAAAAUGCAUGAAAUGAAUCUUGUAGUAACUAAUUAAGUGACUGAAUUGAAAACUCACAAACAUUGUUCCAUGUAUUAGUUCAAAUCAUACAUUUAUUGUAGUCAUGUGUCUUGGUUUGGGUGUGUGGUAGUAAGAGAGAGAGAAAAAUAUGUACAAAAUUGAGUACUUCAGAAUGAGCUGAAAUUCCCUACCAUCCUUUUUCUUGACUAAAAUCCUAGUUUGGAUUUGGUCAUCUCGGCUGGGUUUCCUGAUUAGCUCAUGCCUAUCCAACUAUGUACAUGCAACUGCAUUAGAUUGCUCUCUUCCCAGCCAAUAUAUCUAUGAAUUCAGAUUCCCAGGAUCCACAUUGAAAGCCAUCUCCUGCACUAGAUUGUAUCAGGAAUUUUAUCAAUCCAUAGUGGCAACUAUCUUAACAAGCAACAUGAUGUGACUCACCAAACACCUUUCCAUGUACAAUGUUCAGAAAUUGCAUGUACACAUCGAACUGUUUUUAUGAAGGGUGGUAAAUAAUAUGUUGCGCUACAAGUGAAAUUCUUACAACAAUGUUCCCAGACAUCUACACCCCCUUAUGUAAUCUUCAUCGAAUACAACUUGAGAUAUUCUUGUGAUUUUACUUGGUGAAUUUGGCCAGCAGGUCCGUUGGGAAUUAGAACCGAACAUAUUCAAGAACCCUCUACAUUAUAAACAAUUUCAAAUCCAGAGUUUGGGAGAAUCUAAACCAGAUUCAUGGAGGGAUAUGCUAGGUGGAUCACAACGAUUACCGAGUAACUAUUGUGAUGGAUGGAACUUAUCACCCAAACCCUGUUCAAUCAGGAUGGGCUACAAUUAUAUCUAGCAGUGCUAAUAAUUUCUUGGCUGUCUAAGAUAAUGGUUCUAUAGGUGAUCCAGCAGAAACUUUACAAAUGGGAGUACUGGCUGAAUUGACGCGGGGAGCAAGAAGAACCGGAGUCCAUACAGAUUGUCUUCCAAUUCUGAACUGCUUCACCUAAGACCACAAAAAAACUUUGGCCUUGCAAGAUGUUUCCCUUGCCUUCGUUCAAACAAUUCAAGGAUGUAACUUAUAUCAAAAUUCUUGGACACGAGGUUUUUUCCGCACUUCUACUUAGUAGGAAUGCCUAUCUGCUUAACACAUGCGGUGAAGCUAGAAACCUGCAUCUCAUCUUUCUUUUAGAUGUAGCUGUUAAACUGCGGUAAACAAAACAUAUCUUUUUUCAUUCCAACUGUUUGUAUGAUGGUCUGAAUCUUAAAUAUCAGUUUCUUUGUUUGUAAAA